rnacentral:rRNA from 1 species
UACAGAGGUCGCAAGCGUUGUUCGGAUUCACUGGGCGUAAAGGGUGCGUAGGCGGUUGUGCAAGUCUGAUGUGAAAUCUCCGGGCUCAACCCGGAAAUGGCAUUGGAAACUGCAUGGCUAGAGGGUUGGAGGGGGGACUGGAAUACUUGGUGUAGCAGUGAAAUGCGUAGAUAUCAAGUGGAACACCAGUGGCGAAGGCGAGUCCCUGGACAACACCUGACACUGAGGCACGAAAGCUAGGGGAGCAAACAGG